UAGUCCACGCCGUAAACGAUGGAUACUCGAUGUAGGGAGGAUUCGACCCCUUUCUGUGUCUAAGCUAACGCGUUAAGUAUCCCGCCUGGGGAGUACGGUCGCAAGAUUAAAACUCAAAGGAAUAGACGGGGACCCACACAAGCGGUGGAGCAUGUGGUUUAAUUCGACAAUAAACGGGGAACCUUACCAGGGCUUGACAUCUCCGGAAGGACUGAGAAAUCAGUUUGUGCCGUAAGGAACUGGAUGACAGGUGCUGCAUGGUCGUCGUCAGCUCGUGCCUUGAGGUGUUCGGUUAAGUCCGUAAACGAGCGCAACCCAUGUCUUAUGUUGUAAUUCUCAUAAGAGACUGCCGGCUCUAAGUCGGAGGAAGGUAUGGAUGACGUCAGAUCAGCAUGGCCCUUAUGCCCUGGGCUACACACGUGCUACAAUGGCCGGUACAAUGGGUAGCGAACCCGCAAGGGGGAGCCAAUCUCAUCAAAGCCGGUCCAAGUUCGGAUUGGGGGCUGAAUUCGACCC
rnacentral:rRNA from 1 species